rnacentral:rRNA from 1 species
AGUAACACGUGAGCAACCUGCCUUUCAGUGGGGGACAACAUUUGGAAACGAAUGCUAAUACCGCAUAAGACCACAGUGUCGCAUGGCACAGGGGUCAAAGGAUUUAUCCGCUGAAAGAUGGGCUCGCGUCCGAUUAGCUAGAUGGUGAGGUAACGGCCCACCAUGGCGACGAUCGGUAGCCGGACUGAGAGGUUGAACGGCCACAUUGGGACUGAGACACGGCCCAGACUCCUACGGGAGGCAGCAUG